GACGAACGCUGGCGGCGUGCUUAACACAUGCAAGUCGAACGGAAAGGCCCUGCUUUUGUGGGGUGCUCGAGUGGCGAACGGGUGAGUAACACGUGAGUAACCUGCCCUUGACUUUGGGAUAACUUCAGGAAACUGGGGCUAAUACCUGAUAGGAGCUCCUGCUGCAUGGUGGGGGUUGGAAAGUUUCGGCGGUUGGGGAUGGACUGGCGGCUUAUCAGCUUGUUGGUGGGGUAGUGGCUUACCAAGGCUUUGACGGGUAGCCGGCCUGGGAGGGUGACCGGCCACAUUGGGACUGAGAUACGGCCCAGACUCCUACGGGAGGCAGCAGUGGGGAAUAUUGCACAAUGGGCGGAAGCCUGAUGCAGCAACGCCGCGUGCGGGAUGACGGCCUUCGGGUUGUAAACCGCUUUCGCCUGUGACGAAGCGUGAGUGACGGUAAUGGGUAAAGAAGCACCGGCUAACUACGUG
rnacentral:rRNA from 1 species